GCCGGAGUGGUGAAACUGGUAGACGCAGGGGACUCAAAAUCCCCCGUCCCUCGGGGACAUGUCGGUUCGACUCCGACCUCCGGCACCA
rnacentral:tRNA from 1 species